AUGGUGGCGUGGACCUGUCCUCCUGUUAUCCUGAUCUCAAACAUUUUCCUGUCCUCACAUCCUGAUCUAGUUUAUCUAUUAUGGACGAUCAAAGAGGACGCAAAGCUCUCUACCGAGUAUCUCGAAUGUGAGGCCAGUGAGGAGCUUGUGGAACGUCCUCCGAAAUUCGGACAUCAGUACAAAAACCUCGCGGACGUACAAAAGGUCCUCGGCCUCGUACGAUUAUCCUGGCCGGAAGUCCAACUAGCUGAUGAGAGGCUCGCAUCUCUGCCACCCAGUUAUCGAACAACAACCGAGAAGGAAAAACUUUUACUCUGGUACGCAGAAAACUUUCGCAAACAAUUCCACGCCAUCUGCACCGAUCGUCGACCCCUCCUCCUCGCCUGCGACAAUGAGUGCGGUAUCCAGAAAUUCGUAUCGACGAACAUAAAACCGAGCACGCUGCCAUAUCCGCAGCUACACACGUGGCUGGGCUGCGCCAAAUUUGUCAGCGAUCAUCUUGCCUACGAACCGCUGAGCAAACCCCUGGCACUGCCCGAACGCCUCUGUUCUCCAACAUGGCUGCUGACCACCCAGACCGCCAACAGUUUCGAGUACUCCACGCUCCUGGUGUCUCUCCUCCUCGGUCAGGGGUACAACGCCUACGUCGUCAGUGGUUACGCUUCGAGAGAGCAAACUCUCUGCGACAUGUCGAUGCGCUCCUGUCCAUAUUUACCCACCACCGACCCGACUCCCUCCCAAGCUAAAACCAAAAGCUCCCAUCGGUACCAAAUGAAAUCACCCCCGGAUUUCCGGAGCAAAUUAUUAAUGGAGAUGGAAGAGCUGGAGCGGAAGCGAUUACAAGAGGCAGCCGAUCUGCAGGAGAAUGAGCGUCAAAGACUUAUCCUCGAGCAAGAGCGACCCCCACCUGACAGAUUCUGGGGCCACAGGGUCCACAGCUGGGUCCUAAUCCUCCCAAAUGAUCCAUCUGAGACAACUCGUUAUGAGGAGAUCAAAUCCCCUCUCUUCAUCGAAGCAACGUCAGGGAAUUUCUACCACCUGGACGAUCCUGACACUCGACUUCUCUAUCACGGCAUCGAAAGUGUCUGGAAUGACAGGAAUUAUUGGGCUAAUAUGCAGGUGUGCACCGAUUCCUGUGGAGCCCUGAGCUGGGACCUGGACAACCCUCGCUACUGGGAGCACCUCCUCCCGGGCGAGCCCGCACGAUUCAUCAUCUCCAGCGAGAAAGAAGAGGACUACGAUCCCCUGCAGAAUAAACACCUCGACAUGCCCGUCUCCUACGUCAACGAGAUACAAAUUUCAAGUCUUGAUUUUGAGCGAUGCUACCCCAACGGCCGAAAGGUCAUCUUCUUCAAGAAGACCAAAGCAGAGUUGUUCGCUCCUUACGUCCAAAUGGACGGUCUCACCUCCAAAAUUACGGAGUUCGAUGAUUACGAUUAUCAAUCACCCAUCAGAAUUUUCGAGAAGUACGAAAAUCGCGGGGACAAGCUCAUAAAAUCUACCAAGGAUCUGAUCUCCGGGCGUGUGAGUGACUCCUACGAGCGGGGACGUCCGGAUGCUUGCAAGCAUCACACGUACUCGUCCAUGGGAACGAAUUCAGUGGACGACGAGAGGUCUUUGGAGUUUUUCGACGUCAUUCGAAUCGAUGGACUCGCAAGAAUGGAAACCAGUCAGAUUCGUCUAACUCAGCAUUACGUAAACAGGAAAGAUUUCUUGUACUACAGGAACGUUCAGUUCUCCCCGGACAAUGAACCGAUUCCUCAGCACAGUCAUGACAGGAACAUCUCGAAGAUAACAGAAAUGUUUGGAAGAAACGAAACAGUCGAGGCGAACAGAGACGUUGCGAUCAGGGAAUUCUGCAUUGAUGAUAACGAGAUCAGGCUGAAGUAUCAUUACCGUGAAGAUGAGGUAACCCGAGCUAUGAGGACUUUCGUCAAACCACCGGUCGCUGAGAGGGGCGAACGUCUGGUAUUUGAUGAGAGGAUGACAAGUGGGUAUGAUCCUGAUUCUUCAGCAGUACCACCAAAAUCGUUGGAGCUGUUUUAUCUCCUCCAGACGCUGCUGAGAGAUGAGGUCAUAGCGAUUAACCAUGUCAGAGACGCUGAGAAGGAGAUAUCGGUGUUCUUAAAGACCAGGAAGAGGGAGUACUUCAUGCCUAAACUGGUGGUUUCAAUGUUCGAUAGAAACAGGAACGAAGACGCCAAGGCGGGAAUGUUUGCUAAGGAAGAGUUGCUUCGUGCGCAGAGUCAAAGAGAGAUCGAUGCGAAUGUAGAUUACUUGCGUCCUUUCCUGGCAAGACUCGGUAAUCCCAAAAGUCUGACUAAACAGCAGGCAUUUGAAGUGCGUCAGGAAUGCCUGGAUGAUCUCAAGCUAACGUUAACGAACCGAGCCAAUGAUAUCUUGAGGCGAUUUGAGGAUUGCCAGAGGAUCUUACAAGGGCUCCAGCAAAGACUGGCUGAAGACGAGGGUCUCCUCAAAGAAGAGAAGGAGAGGCUGAAUGAGGAGGCCAAUGAAGUCAGCAUGACAAUGCACACUCUUGACAUUCGUCGUAAACGUCAUGUUGAAUUAUCCUCGGAGCGUUAUCGAACUAUGGUGAGGAUUCUCAGUGAAGAUGAACGACUGUCAGAAUUCAAGGAUUGAUUUAAAAAUGACAACCACAGGAGUUGAGAAUAUUUAAAGUCAAUCCAAAUGUUAAUCACAUAACGCGUGUGUGAAUAUGGAUAUGUGGAAUUCUUAUGAAAUUACCUUGAUCGUCAAAAGUUGCCAGAGUGAAUUUACUAAGUUUGUUGGUAAAACUACCAGCAUUCAUUAUCACAGAGCCUUCGGUACGAUUCUGAUUGGCAGCGUCAACAGUUUCUCCGUUCAAUCGACUCUCCUCGGCGAAACCGGAUAUCAAAGUGUCCAUCAUUAUUGCCUGGAAAAAAGAAUUUCGUAGACUCACUUGCUUGGAGAACACUUGUAGAAUUUUGUAAACUCUCGUUCCAUUCUCACGAACUGGAAAUUGGAGGAAUAGACAUGGUAAACAGUCGGGAUUGUUUUCGUCCGAGGGCUUUGCCAUCUCCCAACUUAAAUUUGGAUACUUUAGCCCCAGUAAGAGACUCUGUAACACAGGCGACGUAUCACAUAGAUGACGUCAUAAAUACCACCCAGUGAGGAAUAAGUAUAACAGAACUCAAAUAUUUCCGAUUCAAUUCGAGUUUUGGGAUAGGAAAAAUUGUGAUGGGAAAAAAAUCAUCGAACUCCCCUGAAAGAUGGAUUUUUUGGGCCGGUGGAAUGACAUAACUCAAAAAGUAUUUGACACUCAUAAAAAAAUUGCCUAUUUUGCAUGACUCACACAUUGCGCGUCAUCAACGACGUACACUCCAGUUGUAUUGAUGGCAAUCAAUACCGACAUGUCCCUGUUAGUGAUCCAGGAAGCCAAUCCCCGAACAGGACGUUCAAUCUGUCCCUGGAAGAACGCCGAGCCAUAACAGGGUAAUCCCCAACAAAACUCUAGAUACUUUCUCACUAGUUUCCGCGAGUUUGGUGUUGUACCCGAAUGAUUGGGUAUUCGUUUGUACUGCUCAAGUAAUCUCGCCUCUGGUGCACCCUUACCACCAACCAAACCCAGACCAAACCCUAAUCCAAAUAGAAAACCCGGCGAUGUGUAGUGAUGCGGAAGAAACCUGGCACGAUGCUUUCGGAAGUAAGCUAAAGUGUGAGUUUGAGGAUUGUAGGGACCCAGUUCUAUUCUCGCUUGGAGAGCACCAAGACUUGCGUACCUCGCUUGACCCUCGCACGGGUACCUUCCUGCAACGUUCACAAAUAAAUAAUUUUCGUUAAAGUCUUAUGCUGACUAGAUGUAUCGAUAAAUUCUGAAUAUUCAUUUUAUAAUUGAGGUACAUUAAGGAAAUUUGAGGGGGAAUCGAUUAUCACCUUCUAAAACAUUAUGCCUUGCUUCAGCAUACAACAGCUCAAGCAUUUUGGGAUCCUUGAUCAUCUCCUCGUCUCUUCUCGACAAAAAAACAUUUCUCCUGAAGUAGAGUAACGGCUCCUCGUCACUCUGUUCCCUUGUACCGUACUUAUUAACCAAUUUACUCCACUUUGAAGCAAGAUCUAUCGGUCUAUGAUUUGGCCUCAACUGUAACUCCAGUUGAGAUGAACACAUCCAAAUUGCAAAUACUGUUUCACCAGUUAUCUGUGGCAAUCUUGACAUACCGAUUUCCGGCUCUGUCUGUACGAUUGACUGAAUUUGUUGGGCUGUUGCAUUUCUCUCGAUUUCCAUCGUUAGAAAUACACCUGACAUCAAAUACACCGCUAUUCGGACACUUUGACGGGUAUUCUGAGAUACAGAGUCUACUUUUGACGAUUGAAUAUCUGGAAAAUACAGCGAUUAAGUUCUAUUAAUGCAGAAAAUGUCUUAGACAGGUGUAAACUUGAUAUUUUAGUAAUUCGAUAUUAUUACGAUAAUGGCAAUAAAUUAAUAAACCGAGAUGAGUUGGAUUCAGUUCUCAGUUGAGUCGUCAAGCAAAUACCUUCGAAUCUAAAGAAAUUAUCGGAAUUUUUAUAAUCAUAUUUAUUGUAGGACCCAAUUAGCUCUAAAAAAAAUACAUAAUAAAAAUUUUGCUAUUCCCUGCAGAUUCCGACAUGUUUAUCAAAAUUGGGCAAUAAUUAUCAGUGACUCAUCUCCAUUAAUCAUUGCAUUAAUAAUGUUUUUUUUUUCACAUUGAUUCAGAAUUUCAACUCUCAUUUUAAGACUCAUAAAUAAAUCUUUCAAAACAUGAGAUCAUUCACUGAUUUUGAAUUUUUAAAAAUCAUAUAAACAAGAUUGAAAUUUCCAAAAAUGUGAGAGUCAACUCACGUGGAGAUGCAUGCGUCUCGCGUUUCCCGGAAUUUGCAUGACGUCUUCCGGGAAUAGCCCUUCUGAUACUGCCCUCCUCCUGUUCCAUCAUUCCCUCACAAUUUGAAAAACCCCAGAACCCGUAUCUCUUAUGAUAUCCUUUCGAUUUCGCCACUCUGCACGCCUUCGCAUCCCCAAAUCGUCCGCCCUCUCCCGUAGUCCUCAGAUUCCUUCGCUCUACACCACAUGCUAUUCCUCUUUGUCAUCAAAAAAACACUCGCUGGUGUAACCUCUCACCCCUGAUUAUUCUCAAUCAGAAUAGUUCACGUCGUAUCAGCACUCAGUGGACAAGUCUUUACGCAUGUAACGACUUCCUUCUAUCCCCCAAACCUGACAGUUGAUGAUUUUUGUUGUCCUUGAUUGUCGAAUAUUGAUGAUUUAAUUCGAGCGAAAACAUUGUGUCGAACUAUUUUGGAGGUGGACUAUUGAUUUUUAUGCCACCAUCGGUGGCUGUGAUACUGACCGAGCAGUGGGGCUAUCGGCCUGCGCAAACUCCUUUUUAAAUUCACAAAUUGGCUGCAUGUCAUUUACUGCUCGAUAAUUGAGUCUAAAUAAAUUCGUUUCUGUAAUACAAACCUUUAAAAAAAUACCCUAAACAAUUUGGAUACCAUAAGAGAAAAGGUUAUACAAAUUCAGUCAGUACGAAAAAUUUUUCGCACAAAUCUCAUUCAUUAAACUAUACAAUAAAUAUUAUCCGACCCUAAUAAGGAUUAGGAGCCUAACCGGUAUUGGGGCCGGAUAAUUCAAAUGAUUGGAAGCAAUAUCUGCACAAUCCACCAACUAAGUUGACAAAAGUUGAAUCUGUCUCUUUCUGAACUGUCUACACUGAAAGGUCUGAACGAGACUAUUUUUCUAAUUGCACAUAAUCAUAGAAAGGAUAAUUGACAUAAACACAAAGGUACUGUUUAUUAAAGUCAAUGUAUUUAGUAUUCACAAGUGGUACAAGAGUUAUUUCAUAAAUAUCUCUGGAAUAAGGAUGCGCUAAACUUCAUCCUGAAGUUAUUUCGAAGUGAACAAAAUGCUUGUGAAAAUAUA